rnacentral:rRNA from 1 species
GGUGAGUAACACGUGAGUAACCUGCCCCUGACUCUGGGAUAAGCGUUGGAAACGACGUCUAAUACUGGAUAUGACUGCCGGCCGCAUGGUCUGGUGGUGGAAAGAUUUUUUGGUUGGGGAUGGACUCGCGGCCUAUCAGCUUGUUGGUGAGGUAAUGGCUCACCAAGGCGACGACGGGUAGCCGGCCUGAGAGGGUGACCGGCCACACUGGGACUGAGACACGGCCCAGACUCCUACGGGAGGCAGCAGUGGGGAAUAUUGCACAAUGGGCGAAAGCCUGAUGCAGCAACGCCGCGUGAGGGAUGACGGCCUUCGGGUUGUAAACCUCUUUUAGUAGGGAAGAAGCGAAAGUGACGGUACCUGCAGAAAAAGCACCGGCUAACUACGUGCCAGCAGCCGCGGUAAUACGUAGGGUGCAAGCGUUGUCCGGAAUUAUUGGGCGUAAAGAGCUCGUAGGCGGUUUGUCGCGUCUGCUGUGAAAUCCCGAGGCUCAACCUCGGGCUUGCAGUGGGUACGGGCAGACUAGAGUGCGGUAGGGGAGAUUGGAAUUCCUGGUGUAGCGGUGGAAUGCGCAGAUAUCAGGAGGAACACCGAUGGCGAAGGCAGAUCUCUGGGCCGUAACUGACGCUGAGGAGCGAAAGCAUGGGGAGCGAACAGGAUUAGAUACCCUGGUAGUCCAUGCCGUAAACGUUGGGCGCUAGAUGUAGGGACCUUUCCACGGUUUCUGUGUCG